rnacentral:lncRNA from 1 species
GGUAUUCCUGCCUUAAACUGACUAACUGAGGCUGAUACUGAGCUUUAGAUGGUUAAGCAUCUCAGACAGGUGAUUAUGUUUAUGUAAUAUUUUUUGUUUUUGUACAGGAUUGUUGAGAGUGUUGGGGAAGGUGUGACUGAGGUUCAACCUGGGGACCAUGUCAUCCCUUGUUACCAAGCUGAAUGCAGAGAGUGCAAGUUUUGCAAGUCUGGGAAGACUAAUCUUUGUGGCAAGGUCCGCGCAGCUACUGGUGUUGGGGUCAUGAUGACUGAUCGCAAAAGCCGUUUUUCUGUGAAUGGGAAAUCGAUAUACCAUUUCAUGGGGACGUCUACGUUCAGCCAAUAUACUGUUGUCCAUGAUGUUAGUGUUGCGAAGAUCGAUCCAGCUGCUCCUCUUGACAAAGUAUGCCUCCUUGGAUGUGGUGUUCCCACAGGUAAGGAUAUUAUCUUAUACGUGUUUAUAGAGAAUGAGGAUCUGAAUCAACCAUGAUUUUCCGGGAAAUCUUAUAUUUAUGGUUGGUGGUGUUUCAUUUCUGCUGGACAUAGUCUAGGGGUAAUUUAUUAGCACAGAUUAAGCACUUGUAGUUAGGAAAUCUAUGCACUUUUAUCCCUUUGAACUUUAUGCAUCUAGAGAAUCUGUUUCUUAUGUUACUGAUGUCUUGAUUUAUUAUCUCUUGUGGAAAUGGCAAUCUAUUUAAUCUGAGAUUUCAGGUUUCCAGAAGUUGUAAUUUGGUGAGCUUUUUAGUAGCAUAUCUAGCUGUUAAUUAUUCUUGUUCUCUGUUAUUUGUUUAUUCUUCCACUCGGUACUUUUAGUACUUCAGUAUGCAUGCUGUAGAUGGCUGAUGUGGGAUGAGUUUAGAUGAUACCAACUGGUGAUGUAACGGUUCUUCAUUCAGGUCUUGGAGCUGUUUGGAACACAGCCAAAGUAGAGGCUGGAUCAAAUGUUGCCAUUUUCGGCCUUGGUACCGUUGGCCUUGCAGUAAGUUCUCUGCAGUGACUCCUCUCUCCCUUUCAAAUGAUUGGAAAGUAAAAUUUUGCAUUGUCUGAGUAAGUGGAUUGGUUUUAUAGGUUGCGGAGGGUGCAAAAGCAGCUGGUGCUUCUCGCAUCAUUGGCAUUGAUAUCGAUAGUAAGAAGUUUGAUAGAGGUAUAACUUUGUUCGUGCUCCCAAUAAUAUAACAUCCUUCUUUUCUGUAGCUAUCGUUAGUAGUUGGAUUGCAUGUAGAUUCGGUUUCAUAAUGUAGUUGCAUAUGCUGGAUUGUAGCUAUCAUUUUCAGUGUUGAUACUGAACGGGGUUUAGUAUUGCAAAAUUACUUGCAUGACCAUAAGCAAUUGCACUGUGCAGCGAAGGAUUUCGGAGUUACGGAAUUCGUGAACCCCAGCGAACAUGAGAAACCAAUCCAGCAAGUCCUCGUUGAUCUUACUGAUGGUGGCGUAGACUAUAGUUUUGAGUGCAUUGGGAAUGUUUCUGUAAUGAGGGCUGCUUUGGAGUGCUGUCACAAGGUAAGUAACAUCUAAACGCAUUGUUGACCCACAUUUAGUACGAUAUUACAAAUCCCGACUUGAGGAUGGAAAAAUUUCAGGGCUGGGGAACUUCAGUCAUUGUGGGAGUAGCAGCAUCCGGUCAAGAGAUAUCGACUCGUCCGUUCCAGUUGGUGACAGGCCGCGUCUGGAAGGGAACAGCCUUCGGUGGGUUCAAGAGUCGUUCCCAGGUGCCUUGGCUUGUCGAGAAGUACUUGAAAAAGGUAAAGUAAUUACAGUUCGUGUUGUGUAUCCAGUAUCUAUCCGUGGUAAAUCGAAAAAUCUAACUGAUAAGUGAUGCUGUUGUGGUACAGGAGAUCAAGGUCGACGAGUACAUCACGCAUAGCCUGACUUUGCCGGAGAUCAACAAGGCGUUUGAUCUGAUGCAUGAAGGAGGUUGCCUAAGGUGUGUGCUCGACUUGCAGGUCUAAGGUUAACAUUCAAGGAGGGAGAGGGACGGAUAAUACUUGGAUGGAUCAUUGUGCUUAUGCCGCUACUUAACGUACUUCGAAAGUGCCGCCUUUUUAACUGUUGGGCGUAGUUUUAUUGUCGUUUGAACAUGGAUUCCGUUCAAGCUCUUGAUUCCUAAACUGCAUAGACUGUACAACGGUGUUUGCAUAAGUUGCACUGAUGUGCCAUUGAUGACUGGAUUUGUUCGGGUUACUAAUAAGAAAGGGUUACUUGAACAUCCACAAACGGUCAUUUUGAGUAUUUCACGAAGAGAUAACCGAUCGUAGUACCAAUUUAAAGUGAGUAAACAGAAUUUCAUAACGAGUACCAAUUUAAAGUGAGUAAACAUAAUUCCAUAACGAAAGUUGUAUGGAUGGCAAAACAAUUCAUGUUCUUUUGUACAUACUAAAAGUUACCUUUGCCUUCAACCACAAGUUAACUGCGAAAUGGGUUGAUUGGAUGAGCAUUUGUGGUGUGUCAAUCUACCAAAAAGCCUUUUCAUGUACUUUUGCUAGAAGCCCCAAAUCUAGGCCCAUUAUAAUCUCGAAGCUAUUCAAACUUGACCCGGAAGGCCCAAACCGCUCACGUGCCGGAUCCGGUUCUCUUGGGAGGCGGCUUGACAAACCAGACCAGUUUGACCAACCCAGCCUACCGAAUCGGACCAUAUUAGUUGGCCAGGAACGACUAUCCGUUCAUUCUUGUGUUCAACUACUUUCACUCGCCACUUCCACUCUCCUCUUCACUCUCUUUUUGCUUUCUAACGCUCGGAUGGCGACUCAGGGCCAAGUCAUCACCUGCAAAGGUACAGUUCUGUCUCUGUAUCUCGUUUGUUUCUGUUCUCCGAUGCUGUUCGAUUCCACUGAUCCAUUCUCUCCGGCGAUCUGGCAAUCCCGAUGUGCUGCCGUUUGGUUUCAGCUCGAUUGUGUUGUGACGGGCAGCUGCGGUGUCGUGGGAACCUAACAAGCCGCUGGUGAUCGAGGAUGUUCAGGUAGCUCCGCCUCAGGCCGGCGAGGUCCGCAUCAAGAUUCUCUUCACUGCUCUCUGCCACACUGAUGCUUACACUUUGGAGCGGCAAGGUACCUUUCAUUGGCUCUCCCUGUUCCAAUGUGUCUUGAAAUGGCUGUAAUUUGAGGUGAUGUUUAUGUUUGUAUUACGUGUGUCUUUUGGACGAGUGGUGUAUUUCGGCUCCACAGUGGCUGGACAUGAUUGUCAUCUUCUUUGGAUGUCUCAGCUGUUGUGUGCUAGAUAAAAUUUUAUGGUUGCUUUGGUUGGAUUAAUGCGAUUCGUCUCAUUUUCCCUUGUAGGAUCCUGAAUGAUUGUUCCCUUGCAUUCUUGGUCACGAGGCUGCUGGGUAUUCAUGCCUUGUGCAGAGUUUGAGACUGAGUUGUAGACUAUUACUCCUCUCAAAUUGACGAAGAUGUUCUUCACCUGAUGGUUUUGGUCAUUUACAGGAUUGUUGAGGUGUUGGGGAAGGUUGAGGUGAAACCUGGGGACCAUGUCAUCCCUUGUUACCAAGCUGAAUGCAGAGAGUGCAAGUCUUUCAAGUCGGGGAAGACUAAUCUUUGUGGCAAGGUCCGCGCAUCUACUGGUGUUGGAGUCCUGAUGAAUGAUCACCAAUGCCGUUUUUCGGUGAAUGGGAAAUCGAUAUACCAUUUCAUGGGGAUGUCUACUGUCAGCUAAUAUACCGUGGUCCAUGACGUUAGUGUUGCAAAGAUCGACCUGGCAGCUCCUCUCGAUAAAGUAUGCCUCCUUGGCUGUGGUGUUCCCACUGGUAAGUGUAUCUUAUCAUAUAUAGGUUUUUCAUUUGUACUUAUUACAGUUUUAU